CACAAAUAUUCAUCACAUGUAAGGGGGAAAAACAACAUUGCAUUUCCCAGGGCAAGCGAUUCGUGUCGGGAACGCAGCGGCUGGGUGAGCUUGCUACCGCAUAAUGCCGGUGCUCAAAGCCCGAAUCUGCCGACGGCGCUGGGUUCCCUGCCUCAGUUUCCCCGUCUGCACCAAAGGGGUCCAGGCUGGUUUCCGGAGGAGAAAAAAGUUCUUGGUGCUUUGGGACUCGUGUGGGAAAUUAUGCUGAGGAAACCCUGCCCCAGCGAGCCGCGGCACGAGGGACUUUUCCAGAGGACUUGGGAUUUUUGUGCGCCAGCAGCGGCACGACUUUUGGGCUGGAGAUAUUUUACCCCUUGGGAGAUGGCUGUUGCCCGUCUCUCCCAGGAGAGGGGGCUGGGAAGGCUUUGAGGCUCUUCCUUUGCCUUCGUACCCCACAGCAGUGCCUGCUCUUACUGUGGAUGGAUCCCAUGCUAAAAAAAUAUGAAUAAAUAAAACCCUCUAAAAACACUGUCCCAAACCAUCCCUGUAGCUUUGCGAGAUGGCCCUUGAUUCAGGCUUAUCCUGGCUGCUGGCAAAUACAGCAACACAGCAGCCUGCUGCCCGUCUCCUCCCCAUGUGACAGUCCCAAAUCCUUGCUCUUCCUCUCCCAAAACUCUUAUGGUCCCGGCAUCCUCCCCUCCACUUAUUUCACCGAUUUGCUGCUGAACUAACGGGCAGAGGGAGCCAAACUGAUGGAUGGGUUUAAUUUGUGCUGGCUGAUGCCGCUCUGACACCUCCGCAAGAGAUGACAGAUGCUUUUCCAGCGGACGAGCGGAGCCUGUCAAUGAGAGCUGGGCACGUCCGCAGAGACAAAACGAGUGAAAUCCACCCCGGGCGCCCUGGCGGGGUGCAGAGGGGAAGGGGAGGGAAGACAAGGCCCGUGCAAGAAGCGGAGCAGAGAAGUGAAGUGCGCCCAGCACAGAGCCUGAGGCGAGGGGUUGAGGAGCAUCUGGGCAGGCGGGCACAGCCCCUGGCAGGGCGGCUGCAGAGCCCAGUGCCGCCCUGUUAAGCCCCUCUUUUGCUAUCCCCACUAUAUCCACAGCUGUCUGACCCGCCAGCCAGCCGUCUGCCUGCCCCGCACUUACUCGUCAUGGCUUCCCAGCACUUAAAUACCUUGUAUUUAACCGUCCAUCCCUCCACGCAUCUAUCCCAUACUCAUUGCUGUCCUAGUCCAGCCCUUACAUUUCUUACCUUCUACGUUAAGCAUGAUUGGGAUGAAAUUUGUGGCCUGUAUUCAUCU